GUGUGACGUUAAAAAAAAUUUUUCGAACUCGCAACACCAAUUAUCUUUGCGUAAUGUACUCGAUACAUAAUUAUACAAACUAGAAAAAAAGUAUCUCACUCGAUAUCGUUACAGACAAAAUUUGCUUCUAACGAGUUUUGAAACGUGAGAAGCACUCGCAACUAUAUAUAGCAACGUAAGUGAAACAGAUUUUGUAAUGGCGGAAAUGGAAGGGUUGGCGGUCGGUUGCUAUGCGGGGUUCGCGUACGGAACUGACACCGAGAACUCGGUGGAAUAUACGGGUAGCGCGGUGCGACGCGGGACGUGCUAUUUUCCCACCGUACGUGCGUCCGAGGUAUGAGGUAAAAAAUAUAGGAGAUCGCCGAUGGCUGACUUUUGUACACCCCGCGUGUUAAAAAAUUGACAAAAUUUUCCGUCGACAUUCGUGUAUGUUUGUAAUGAAAAGAAAAAAAAAAAAAAAAAAAUCGUCUCGAAAAGCUUCUCGUUAGGGAUAUUUUUGAGGAUACGAAAAAUCGGAGAUGAAUAUAAUGAGAGGGAGAAAAGUAAAAAUAUG
rnacentral:misc_RNA from 1 species